rnacentral:rRNA from 1 species
UGAGUGGCGGACGGGUGAGUAACGCGUGGGUAACCUGCCUUAUACAGGGGAUAACAGUUAGAAAUGACUGCUAAUACCGCAUAAGCGCACAGUAUCGCAUGAUACGGUGUGAAAAAACUCCGGUGGUAUAAGAUGGACCCGCGUCUGAUUAGCUAGUUGGUGAGGUAAUGGCUCACCAAGGCGACGAUCAGUAGCCGACCUGAGAGGGUGACCGGCCACAUUGGGACUGAGACACGGCCCAA